rnacentral:rRNA from 1 species
AGUGAACGCUGGCGGUAGGCCUAACACAUGCAAGUCGAACGGCAGCACAGUAAGAGCUUGCUCUUACGGGUGGCGAGUGGCGGACGGGUGAGGAAUACAUCGGAAUCUACUUUUUCGUGGGGGAUAACGUAGGGAAACUUACGCUAAUACCGCGUACGACCUACGGGUGAAAGCAGGGGAUCUUCGGACCUUGCGCGAUUGAAUGAGCCGAUGUCGGAUUAGCUAGUUGGCGGGGUAAAGGCCCACCAAGGCGACGAUCCGUAGCUGGUCUGAGAGGAUGAUCAGCCACACUGGAACUGAGACACGGUCCAGACUCCUACGGGAGGCAGCAGUGGGGAAUAUUGGACAAUGGGCGCAAGCCUGAUCCAGUCAUACCGCGUGGGUGAAGAAGGCCUUCGGGUUGUAAAGCCCUUUUGUUGGGAAAGAAAAGCAGCAGGUUAAUACCCCGCUGUUCUGACGGUACCCAAAGAAUAAGCACCGGCUAACUUCGUG